UACGUAGGGUGCGAGCGUUAAUCGGAAUUACUGGGCGUAAAGCGUGCGCAGGCGGUUCGUUGUGUCGGCGGUGAAAGCCCCGGGCUUAACCUGGGAAUGGCCGUUGAAACUGGCGAACUGGAGUGUGGCAGAGGGGGGUGGAAUUCCGCGUGUAGCAGUGAAAUGCGUAGAGAUGCGGAGGAACACCGAUGGCGAGGGCACUCUGCUGGGCCGACACUGACACUGAGAGACGAAAGCUAGGGGAGCGAAUGGG
rnacentral:rRNA from 1 species